rnacentral:sRNA from 10 species
GAGUGUGUAGGAGAAAGUGAUUUUUCGGUGGAAACAUGGAAACACUUGAUUAAUCAUUUUGAAA